CCUAAAUAAAAAUGAGACUUUCAUUACGGAGUAGGCUUAGAUACUAAUAUAAUAUUUGACCUAUUUACACAGUAUAAUGUUUAAGUGAAAGGUGUUCAACUGGCCUUUCUUGAGUACAACCAAUUUACAAGGAGUUAUUAGUGUAUUUAAAAAGGUUUUCAAAUGGCUACAAUUUUCCAAACCAGAAUAAGGCUGCCAAAGAUCCAAGAAAAGUGUAUCAUUGAGGAAUAGAACUAUGCAUCUGCUUCUGAUAAAAAUGUGGUGCAGCUUCCGUCAGCCAAGAAGGAUCAACAGUAAUGACAUUUCGCAUGUACUGACGAUCCGUUGAAACAAGAGAAUAGUAUACGAUCCACUUCGGGUUGACCCUAUCAAAUUUGAGAAAACACAUUAUAAACUUAAGUGAGCCGAGGGUCUUCCGGAAACAACCUCUCUAUCCCUCCGGGAUAGGGAUAAGGUAUGCAUACACUCUACCCUCCCCAAACCCCACUUGUGGGAUCCUACUGGGUUGUUGUUGUUGUACAUUAUUAACUUAACAUGUAACAGAACAUAAUAAUAGUUCAACUUAUCUAGUAUUGUUUCUUCCUUUUUAUCCUAAAGUAAUAAGGGAC
rnacentral:lncRNA from 1 species